ACAGCUAGUAGCGAGUCAGAAGAUGAUGUCCUGAAGAUAUCUGACGAGGUAUCUACUUCUUUUCAGCAAUGGAUUUUAGAUUCUGCAUGCAUCUAUUAUGUAUAUUGCAGAGAAGAGCAGUUUGACUCUCUGAAGAGUAGUGAAGGCACUAUUUAUCUGUCGAAUAGAUCGAGCUAUGUGAUCAGAGGCAUCGGGACGAUCAGUUGGAGGACACAUGAUAGUGUAAUAAGGA
rnacentral:lncRNA from 1 species